GGGCGGCGGUAGUGCAACGGUUCAGCACGCACUCUCGGAAAGGGUGAAGUCUUGGUUCGAAUCCCAGCUCGCGCA